rnacentral:rRNA from 1 species
AACUUCUGGUUCUUUAGUCUUGUACCGUUCUCUUGUAGAACGUUGUGACUAGUCUUAGAACCUUCCUGGUUGAAAGCGCUUCUGCCCUUUAUUGGGUUGGUUGUGUGAUCUGCCUCUUUUACUGUGAGAAAAACAAAGUGCUCAAAGCAGGCUUUACAGCUUGAAUGCGUUAGCAUGGAAUAAUAAGAUAGGACUUUGUUUCUAUUUUGUUGGCUCUGAGGAACAAGUAAUGAUUGAUAGUUGGGGGUGCUCGUAUUUAGCGGUGAAAUGCAUGGACCCGUUAAAGACAAACCUAUGCGAAAGCAUU